AGCCAGAGCAUUUGGUAGAACUGAAAGACAAGCAGCAAUGAUUUAGUUUAUUUAUCCUCAGUAUUGUUUCAUCAUCUCUUCAUAACAAUGAAGAGGAAAAAAAAAAGGAGAGAAUAAAACUUUAAAGAUUACUUGAUGCUACCAAAAUCAGAAGUUUGGAAGGAUGCUGUUGUACAAAAUAAUUAUUCCUAUAUUUUUAGAGAAAUGCAGUCUACCUAGAUUUUGUACACUUCUGCCUGUACUUGAAAUAUUUUUUUCCUUCCCUUGAAGGGAAGGAAAAAUACUUCUGUCAAAAGAAACAAUUAACAGUUACUCAUUAACGGCUAUGCAAACUGAUAUUUUAAUAAUUUGAUGUUAAUAUUAUCUUUUCCCACUUUAGGGUUAGAUAUUCUACAAACACAAGAGAAGACCAUAGGACAGAUCUGUAAAAUGUAUCUAAGCACCUGUGGAAGCACUCUGUCGGCCAGUGAAGUUGUCAGUGCAGAUACAUCUUGACUACAGUUUGUAUGUCCCAUUUUCAAUGAUCCUGAAGUCCCAAUCACUGCUUUUUGAAGA
rnacentral:lncRNA from 1 species